GACGAACGCUGGCGGCGUGCCUAACACAUGCAAGUCGAGCGAUGAAGUUUCCUUCGGGGAACGGAUUAGCGGCGGACGGGUGAGUAACACGUGGGUAACCUGCCUUGUAGAGGGGGAUAGCCUUCCGAAAGGAAGAUUAAUACCGCAUAAGAUUGUAGUUUCGCAUGAAACAGCAAUUAAAGGAGCAAUCCGCUACAAGAUGGACCCGCGGCGCAUUAGCUAGUUGGUGAGGUAACGGCUCACCAAGGCGACGAUGCGUAGCCGACCUGAGAGGGUGAUCGGCCACAUUGGGACUGAGACACGGCCCAGACUCCUACGGGAGGCAGCAGUGGGGAAUAUUGCACAAUGGGGGAAACCCUGAUGCAGCAACGCCGCGUGAGUGAUGACGGUCUUCGGAUUGUAAAGCUCUGU
rnacentral:rRNA from 1 species